rnacentral:lncRNA from 1 species
CACAAAUGCUCGCUGUUCAGGGCAGGCUGCCCAAGUCACUCCUUCCUGGUGUCCCCAGACCUGGGCUACUAAGUCCUGGGGGUCCGGAAGGCAGGGUUAGUCCCAGGCAACCACAGGGACGCUCCAGGGAUCCCUGCUGAAGGACAAGGACAUCUCAGCCUCCCCAGCAGCCGCAGCCAAGAGCCCUGCCAAGCCGAUGGGACCCACGCAAUCAAUAAGCAGGUGAUAGCUUCUUCAGGUGGUCACUCCUUUGGGUAGCAGGCAUGUAUCAGAUCUGGAGCUCCAUCACCCUGGUGGGAGUUCAGACAUCGUGUCUUAUAGCUACGUGGCACUCACAGGUUGUCCUUGUCCCGAAACAAAACAAAGUGAAGCAAUAACAACCCGCCAGACUCAUUUCCCGCUGUGGAACCUAAAAUCUCAACCAUUCAGUAACUCUUUGGGUUUCAAGAACUGUGGCCCUAGAAGGGUCCUGCCAGAGUGCAGUGAUGUUCCCCAUCACUAUGGUCGUUUGUGCCUCACCAGUGUCUCCAGUUCG